rnacentral:rRNA from 1 species
AUUGAACGCUGGCGGCAUGCCUUACACAUGCAAGUCGAAUGGCAGCACGGGUGCUUGCCCCUGGUGGCGAGUGGCGCACGGGUGAGUAAUACAUCGGAACAUGUCCUGUAGUGGGGGAUAGCCCGGCGAAAGCCGGAUUAAUACCGCAUACGAUCCACGGAUGAAAGCGGGGGACCUUCGGGCCUCGCGCUAUGGGGUUGGCCGAUGGCUGAUUAGCUAGUUGGUGGGGUAAAGGCCUACCAAGGCGACGAUCAGUAGCUGGUCUGAGAGGACGACCAGCCACACUGGGACUGAGACACGGCCCAGACUCCUACGGGAGGCAGCAGUGGGGAAUUUUGGACAAUGGGCGAAAGCCUGAUCCAGCAAUGCCGCGUGUGUGAAGAAGGCCUUCGGGUUGUAAAGCACUUUUGUCCGGAAAGAAGUCCUUGACUCUAAUACAGUCGGGGGAUGACGGUACCGAAAGAAUAAGCACCGGCUAACUACGUG